GUGAGUUCUCCUGUUGGUUUGACUGGGAGUGGUUUCUCAGCUUCUUCAUCUUGCUUGUUGUUUUCUUUCUCCUGAGGGAGUUAUACUCUCCGUGAUCGGGCAGUGUUUGCCUGUCACUGCCGUGGAAUAUUUCCUGAGGGCUGGCGUUGUUGGUCAAUCUUUUUUGAGGCAGUGUGGCUUUUCUGGAGUGUUGAUGGGGCUAACAGUGUUUCUUUGAAGCAAAGGAGGACUUCCUGAGGGCAGACAGGACUGAGAGGUCCACACCGCGAUGGUAGCAGAUUUCACUUGGCCAUGCAGAGCUUGCUCUGGUGUUUUUAGGCUGUGGGGUUCUUGCAGGGGGUUGGCGGUGUUGGGCAGCUGCUUUUUAGGGGUGCAUCACCCCCUGGGGGCUGGAGCAGCUAUCUGGGGCACUGAGAACCUGAGAGGCUCUUCCCUAGGGCAGCCCAACUCAGAAGGACAGCCUGAGAAUGUAGGCGGAUCUUCACAGUCUGGCUGAGCUUGUUGCAGCUUUUCUGGGCUGCAGGGGGUCCUGCCUGGAGCUGGCAGUCCUAUGCAGCUGGUCCACUAGAGCAUCCCCUGGAGGCUUGGGCAGGUAGCAGGGCCGUUGGAAACCGAAGAGGCUCCUCCCCAGGGCGACCCGACUCAGAAAAACCGUCCGAGAAUUAGGCCGAUCUAUUCACAGCCUGGCUAAGCUUGUUCUAGCUUUUCUAGGCUGCAGGCCUUUUCUCGGGGGCUGGUGCUGUUUGGUGCUGCUCUGCGGAAGUGUAGCCCCUCCAAAGGGCAAGCAGGCCUGUGCAGGAACAGCCCCUGCAGUGGUAGGCUUCAGGCAAUUGUUGAGGCCAGCCCUCCUGGAUGGCAGGCAGCCCCAGGUCCGUGAGAGCGUAGGGCGUGGCGGGGGUGGGGGGAGGGGAUGCACUGGGAAGCAGAGUUUUCAGCUAGCUAGUGGGCCUGUAAGCUUGCUGUGGCGUGGGGGGUAUUCUAUGGGGACCCACCCCUUCUUCUCUCCCCUCCCCAGCACGGGUGCAGACCAGGCUCUUCUCCCAGGUUCCCUCUGAUGUGGCUUUCCCCUUCCCCACUCCUGGAGUAUUGCUCCCUUCCUCUGCGACAGCUUUGUUUUCUAGUCUCCCAGGCAGUCUCUGCCCCGUCAACUGGUUUCUAGACCUCCCAAGCAGUUUCCGCUCUGCCCCGCCCCCCUAGCCCGGGGACUAAUCUCUGGAGCCGAGGUCUCGGUGCCCAGCCCCCACCCAGGCGUCCCCCGGCCCCCUCUCGGGGACUAACCUUCAGAGGCGAGGUCUCGGUGCCCAGCCCCCCUCCCAGGCGUCCCCCGGCCCUUUCUCAGGGAUUAACCUUCAGAGGCGAGGUCUCGGUGCCCAGCCCCUACCCAGGCGUCCCCCGGCCCCCUCUCGGGGACUAACCUUCAGAGGCGAGGUCUCGGUGCCCAGCCCCGACCCAGGCGUCUCAAUUUUUGGUGACUCUGCCCGUAGUUCAGAUGGUCCGUUGGGUUCUUGAUCGGCUUUUCCGUACUCCAACUUACUGCUACACUCUUCUCUGCAUCUGGAGAUUCCUCCGGUUCGUUUGAUCUUUCGCCCCGUAGGUGACUUUCCAGGGUGCGGGAUCCCUUUCUCCUCCGCAGUUCCCUUUCGGGAGCCCCCGUCUCGCUCGGAUUCGCCUUCUCUCACUCUCCUCUUUUCUCCUGUUCUGCCCAAUAAUGUCACGAAUUUCUUGCCGUUAUUGGAGUUUAGGUUCCUCUGCCAGCGAUUGGUUGCUGUUCUGUGCGAGUCAUUUAUUCUGUAGAUGUGCUUUUUUUGUUGUGUUUGUGGGAGAGGGCGAGCUUGUCUUCCUACUCCUCGCCAUCUUGUCCUCUCUCUCAGGAAAUAUUUUAAAAUGUCCUGGAGAUGAUGAAACAAUUGUUACGUGAAACAAAUGGAGAAGACCUAUUGUGAGUCAAAGAAGCUGUUCUCUGCACCUAGAAUUUUAUGGUAAAAUUUCUGGGAUAGGAGUUGCAAAGUAAGGAAAACAUAGAUGGAAACUGUUGGUUAAAGUGGAAAACUGUUAAAGUACAGAAUGUAAAGAGAGUGUUUGGAUGGAAUAGAAGCAUAGGAUGAAGUCUUAAAGUAUGUGGUUUAAGUACGGUAUAGAGGCUAUUAGAAAACUCUUUAAUAAUCCCGAAAUGAAGGAUUUGCUGGUCUCUCUUGCUCACACACGCACAUUCUCUCUCUCUCUGUCUCUCUGUCUUUCACUCACUCACACACACACACACACACUCUCUCUCUCUCUCUCUCUCUCUUUUAGAGUUCUCUAUCUGGAAUAUCUCUCUAUCCCUUCUUUCCCCACCCCCUUCCCCCUUGCUUGACUAACCCUGGAGAAUCCUCAGGUCUCAGGUUUCUGUCUUCCUCCAGAAACUUAUCUCUGACCAUGGGCCAGGUUAGGUCUUUUCUUAUGUGUCCUAAUAUUCUCUGCUUACCUCUGUCAAAUCUGUUUUCUUUGUCUAUUGCUAUGUAACAAAUUACCACAAAUGAAGUAGCUUGAAACAAUAAAAAUUUAUUUUCUCAUAGUUUCUGUAGGCCAAGAUCAAGAUAUUGGCUGGCUGUGUUCUCAGCUGGAGGCUUAACUGGGAAAGUUAGGCUUCUAAGCUCUCUCCUGCUGUUGGCAGAAUUUAUUUUCUUACAGCUCUAGGAUUGAGGAUUCUGUUUUCUUAAUAUCUGUUGACUGGACACACUCUUAGCUCAAGUCCUUGCUGUAUGGCCCUCUGUACAACAUGGCAGCUUGCCUUUUCAAGGUCAGCAAGAGAAUCUUUCUUCUUAGUCUUCUAAGACUCAGUCUUACAUUAUGUAAUGUAUUUACAUAAUCACAGAAGUGACUGCCCAUUACCUUUGACAUAUAACUCAAUCAGGGGAAUGACUACUUCCUCAUUCCUCAUUCACAAAUCCCACCCAUACUUAAGGCUUGUAUAAGGCCUGUACACCCAGUAGUAGAGGAUCUUAGGGAAUCUCAGAAUUCUGCCUAUCAAAUACCCUUUAUCACCUUGCAUUAUAAUUUCUUGCUUAUUGAGAUUUCAGAGAAACUAUAUCUUGGUGACGCUGUAUCUUCUGCUUUGUACACUGUGUGACAGAUACUGGCAGAUCAUUUUGGAUAGUUGAGAGCAUGGAGGCUGUAAGAGGAAAGAUUUUAAUAAUCUUUGCAUUUAGUGGAAUCAUAAGUGAAAAGAUGCUGUUGAAGGGCAAGGAAGAACAGAGAACUUUUUAACUAAAUCCAGAGUCUGUAGAAUCUGAAUGAAUAUAGUAUCACAUUAUACUUGAUUGGUGCUGUGGUAUUGGAGAAAUGGGAUGCUGCAUUUUUGAAGGUGAUGGUUACGUGACACUCAAUUGGCAAGGUUUGGUCAGUUAUAUUGCAUGUGAUGUUGAAUAGGUACGAAUGAGCAGUUCCCAGUAAUUGUGCUACAAGUGUGGAAGCCCAUCAUGAUGUUCAUUGCUUUAAAAAAAAUUCAGCUUUUCCUUUGAUUAAGGCACAAGGUUAAAUACUACUGAAGAACAUGCCAAGGCUGUAUCAAGUAAAUAUAGGAGAUUUAAAGUAGAGACUUGGUUUGCUUAGAUGAUAAAAGAGCUGAGAAAUCAAGAAGGAAAGAUAAACAGAGAUUAGCAGCAUCAGGAAGCUACUAUCAUCUGGGUGUUCACAGGGAGAGGGUGAUGGUAUAGGAGUUUGAGGGCCAGGGUUACAGAACUGGAAUCAUGGAGUAGUUAGCUGUUUCCAGAGAUGCUGGCUCACUCAGAAAGGGAGGAGGAAUGCCCUGGCUUCUUCCUUCCUUUCUCUUCUUAGUCUCACCUAAUGUCUCUUAUUAAUUGAACCCAGCUGGAGGCAGUUUAUGAGGGAGCAGGAAAAUGCAAGUAGCAGGCAUCAACCCCUUCCCCCAGAGUCUCUGUCUGGGGAUAGAGAUGAGAAAUGGACCUGAAGGCAGACAAACUCAGGAUCAGCACAGGGACGUAAAGAUAAACAGCAAAAAACUGUCUUCAGGGGGCUUACAUUCCAGUAGAAGAAAGGAGGCAUACAUGGAGAUAAAUCAAAAUACAGAAGAGAGCAACACAUUCUGGCAUAAAAAUUGCUGACUUUGAUAAUGGCAGCCUGGUGACGUGAUUAAUUAAAAAACAGUUACAGAGUUCUCAUGGCUCAGCUCGUUAAGGACCUGACUAGUAUCCAUGAGGAUGUGGGUUCAAUCCUAGACCUAGCUCGGUGAAUUAAGGAUCUGGCAUUGUUGCAGGCUGUGGAGUCAUAGGUUGCAUUUGCGGCUUGGAUAUGGCUUUCCUGUGUCUGUGGUGUAGGCCAGCAGCUGCAGCUCUGAUUCAACCUUUAACUCCAGGAACUUCCAUAUACCUAGGGUACAGCCCUAAAACAAACAAACAAACAAACAAAAAACAGUUAAAACUAAACAAAUGAAAAACAAGAUUGCUGGUACUCAAAAUGGAAUUUGUAUAGAGAAUUAAAUCAGCUUUGAUUGAACUUGUAUUUCAUACUUUAAUCAGCAAAAACAGGAAGUAAAUUUUGGAAGAAAAUUUGGGAUAUAUGUAUGGCUAAGAUGAUUUAAAGAAAAAUAGGAAACCCAGAAACUGUAAGACAGAUAUACAGGCAUUCCUGCUGUGGUACAGUGGGUUAAGGAUCUGGUGUUACUGCAGCUGUGGCAUAAAGUUGCAGCUGUGGCUCAGAUUUGAUCCCUGGCCCCGGGGGAACUUCCAUAUGCUGGGGGUGUGGCCAAAAAGAAAAAAAGAGACAUAAUUGAUUAUGCAAAAUAUUUUUAAAGCAUGGAAAAAUAACCAAACCAUGAAGUCAGAAUACAUGUGAUAAUUUGAGAAAGAAUGUUUGUUAAUAAAUGAUAUGAAAAAAAUUAAAACCUAUCAUGUGCCUUCAAAGAUAAGAAAAAGACAACCAAAUAGAAAAAUUAUCAAAAGUAUUGGCCAUUCACACAGCAAAGUAAGGUAAUAUGACUCAAUUUUUGUAAAGCAAGGAGUUAUAGAAAAAAAAUCCUCCGUGUGUGAUUUAUGAAAAUGGAGAUAAAUUUGAAAGGUUGCAUGUCUGUCUGGCUUAUGUUAGUUACUGAAAGGAAGGAGCAGAGGGGUGGUGUGGGCUGGAGGUCAGAUAAUGGGGAAAUAAAAGAAAAAGGAAUGAGAAAAGUUUGAACACAUAAAUAUCAUAAAUGUGGUCCCAUUUCUGCAAAAUGUUUUAAGUAUGUGGCUCUAUAUGAAUGAGUAUAUACCACUUCCUUUGCUCU
rnacentral:lncRNA from 9 species